CUGUGGAUGCGUAAGCAUGGUAGGAUAGCGUAAUUAACGCGAUGAAGGAUGACCGUAAGGACAUGUUGGAGCGUUAACUAGUGAGAAUUCCGGUAUGAGUAGCGAAAGAUAGGUGAGAAUCCUAUCCACCGAAUGAGUAAGGUUUCCCCCGGAAGGCUCGUCCGCGGGGGGUUAGUCGGGACCUAAGGCGAGGCUGAAAAGCGUAGUCGAUGGACAACAGGUUGAUAUUCCUGUACCGAUAUUUAAUUGCCGAAGGAAGGACGCAGAAGGAUAACACAGGCCACUAUUGGAUGUGGUUUUAAACAGUUAGUCUUCAUAAGAGUCAAAUGCUUUUAUGUUUAAGGAUAAGCUGUGAAUGUACCAAGUUUACUUGGAAAUUGUGUGAUUUCACGCUGCUGAAAAAAGUUUCGUAGGAAGAAAAUAUUGCCCGUACCGCAAACCGACACAGGUACUCAAGUGGAGAACACUAAGGUGAGCGAGUGAACUAUUGUUAAGGAACUCUGCAAAAUGAGUCCGUAACUUCGGAAGAAGGACUGCUGGUUUUAUACCAGCCGCAGCAAAUAGGCCCAAACAACUGUUUAUCAAAAACACAGGUUUCUGCAAAAUCGUAAGAUGAAGUAUAGGGGCUGACGCCUGCCCAGUGCUGGAAGGUUAAAAGGAGGACUUAGCUUCGGCGAAGGUCUUAAUUGAAGCCCCAGUGAACGGCGGCCGUAACUAUAACGGUCCUAAGGUAGCGAAAUUCCUUGUCGGGUAAGUUCCGACCCGCAUGAAAGGCGUAAUGAUUUGGGCGCUGUCUCAACAAUAGACUCGGUGAAAUUUAAAUUCCAGUGAAGAUGCUGGGUACCCGCGACAGGACGGAAAGACCCCGUGGAGCUUUACUGUAGCU
rnacentral:rRNA from 1 species